GCGGGCGUAGCUCAGCGGUAGAGCGCCAGCUUCCCAAGCUGGAUGUCGUGGGUUCGACCCCCAUCGCCCGCUCCA
rnacentral:tRNA from 1 species